GAGGCAGUGAAAGGGUUCUAAGUUCUUUACUUACCAAUAACCUUGAUGCAGCUACCAGUGUAUCCUGAAUGUUUCUCCUUCUUAGCAAAAUAGUGCCAAAAUUGAGAGCUGAGCUCUAAAGGGCACAGUUGACAUCACCCUUGGGUACCUGGUUCAGCUCUCAGCAAAUAGACAUCUUCCAUUUCUUAUCUAUAUUUACCUUAUAGUAUAUAUAUAUCUAAUAUAUUUGUAACCAAGCAUCUGUCUGUACUUGACUUAUUCCCUUCUCUAUUUAAACACGCACCUGAGAGGAAUCAUGGACAAUCUGCAGUGAAGCCAAUCACCUGUCACCAGCAAUCAAAGCUUUUAUAGAAGAUGUCCCAGCACAUCUCUGCAAGGCGAAUAUAUGUGAACAUGGAUUUGUAAAAGAUGCACUAGAACUGACUGACAAAGGACCUAGCAGGCACUGCACGAACAAGCCCCACAAGAACCUCAAGGCCCAGCCAUCAGGAGAGGGGAAGAUGGGUGCAGACCGCAGAACUAAACCCCGAGGAGCUGGUGCGUGGCAGGGACCUGCCCAAGGCAGGAGGAGGCAAACCCAGGGCCCCAGGAAUGCAUUCUCCACUGCAAGUACUGCAGCCUGGCGAGGGAUGUGCCCUGUCUUCUGUACACAACAGAGAAAGGAUCUUC